UAGGAGUGCUGAUAAGAAUACUGCUGAUAAGAAUACAACAGUAAUGACACCAAAAGAGAGACAUGACAAGAGGAAGAGGAACUUUUCCGCCAAAGCGGUGUCUCCCGUUACUUUUGGGGUAAAGGAAUUAUUGCCUGCUACAGACUGUGAGGAGAUCUGUAAACUUCUCAAAGAGAAAUACAAUGGUGAUGAAGUGUUAAAUUUGGGUGGGACUAUCAUGACGGGGGCUCAGCUGCUGAAGUGUAUAGAGGAUCCUAAGAGUGCCCCGAAUCUUCUGGGUGUUUUUGUUGAAUGCCUCAAGCAGGAUGAUAACAAGAACGGCAAUAAUAAAAAAAGAAUAAUUAUCCAACCACAACAUCAGUUGGAUGAAGAAUUUGUGCAAGUGAUUAAGAAAGAGAUCUGGAGCAGCAAAAAAGAUGGAGGGUAGAGCAGAGAUUCCUAUUUUGUGCUAUCACUGAAGAAGAUCCUAACACUCAAAAACAAGAAGGCAUAAUUCUUUUCCUCGAUAGUGAGCAAAAAACCCAGGUCACUGCCUUGCAUGCCAAUGAUAAUAAGAUAAGCGGUGGUCAGAUUAAGACCAUCAGUGAAAAAUUUGCGGCAUA